GACGAACGCUGGCGGCGCGCCUAACACAUGCAAGUCGAGCGAUGAAAUUUUAACCGAUCUCUUCGGAGAGAAGAUAAAAUGGAUUAGCGGCGGACGGGUGAGUAACACGUGAGAAACCUGCCUUUCACAAGGGGAUAGCCUCGGGAAACCGGGAUUAAUACCCUAUGACACAUUUCCUUCGCAUGGAAGAAAUGUUAAAACUCCGGUGGUGAAAGAUGGUCUCGCGCCUGAUUAGCUAGUUGGUGGGGUAACGGCCCACCAAGGCCAUGAUCAGUAACCGGGCUGAGAGGGUGAACGGUAACAUUGGAACUGAGACACGGUCCAAACUCCUACGGGAGGCAGCAGUGGGGAAUAUUGCACAAUGGAGGAAACUCUGAGGCAGCGACGCCGCGUGAGCGAUGAAGGCUUUCGAGUCGUAAAGCUCUGUCGUAUGGGAAGAUAAUGACGGUACCAUAGGAGGAAGCCCCGGCUAACUACGUG
rnacentral:rRNA from 1 species